UAACCAAACGGCCCAUAUUGUACCUAAAAGGAAACCGUGCCCAUUCACUCUCGUUUUCUUACCCGUGUAUUUACUCUUUCAUUUCUCUUUUUUUGUGCCUCUGAAUCGUUAUGUCUUCUCAUUCUCAUUUCUCUUUUCAUUCAUUCACAAAGAAACACUAAAUUCACCUUCUCACACACAAAAUGUCACUAAUUUGCCUUCUCACGUACAAUACAUGCUCAUCUCAUUGUUAAAUUUGUUCAGCUAUUCGAGGAGCUCUCGUUGAGUCUAUUGAGAGAUGCGAACUGCCGUGUUGAUGGAUCGAUUCAUCCAUCAAACUAUCGUCUGGAUUCUUAGAUUCUGUUGUUUGGGAUUCCCACUUACUCUUUCGUCAAUCUCUGUGUUGCCUCUUCUUCUGUACGAAGAAGAAUGGGUGUGGUUCCAAAAGAUUCCGUCAAUCAGUCUGAAGCAUUAAUGGAGGAAGGUCAUUUCUUCUUGCGAGGUUUCAACGUAAAAGAGUCAAUAUAUUUUUUUACUGUUCCUAUGAAUGCAUGCCCUUUUAAUGUUUCCUUCAUUAUUUUUUUUCCUAAUUUAUCUUCUCUUCUCACGCACAGGGCAGAAUAAGCAGAAAGAGGAAGAUAUUUUGCUGGCUUCAAUUUCACAGCUUCCGAUUUCGAACAGCACUUCACCAUGGGUGGUUACGAAAUUCCACUACGAUUCGAGCUCCGAUUUGACCCUUGGUUUCACUCGACCUUUCUCUACAAUUUCACCGAUGUAAGUUUCUACUUUAUUUUUUUAAUUCAAUUUUAAAGACAAAAAUACUGUUUUCAAUUAUCACAUUUCAUAAUAUAUAUUUUUUCCAUAAUGCUUGUGUGUUUCUCAGAUGUGUUAACUGAACGCCAUUUUUUAAGAUUCUUUUGCCCAACUUUUAUGGCGUGAUUUUAACUAUUCAUUUCUUGUCUGUCUGAAUUUGUAAAAUAUUUGAUUUGGGUGGGAUAAAAUUUUUGGAAUAUUGCAGAUUGUUUUAGAUAAGCGAAUUUUUGAAGAAUUAAAUUUAUACUAAGCAAAAAUGCUAAGAAGGAACUACAUACAAAGUAGAUGUAAUGGGAUAUAGAAAUUUCUUAAGUUAAAAGUUUUUGUGAGAUAAUUUCAGAUUGAAAAGCCGAAAAGAUGCACUAAUAUAUGGAUAGUUUGCUUGUGUAUUUCAUGGAAAAAAAUUUGAGUCCAAACUGGGAAGCUAUUGUUUUGGCGUGAUCAGAAUGUUAAAUGUUUAUAAUUUCUUAGGAGGGCUAACCCCUCAUGUUAAUGUGCUUAUGAUCUCCGUUUUAUGUAGUCUUCUGAUCUCGAAACUUGUUUUUACUAUAAGAUCUUGAAAUAUUUGUUGGAAGUAACAAGAAUCAAUGAAGCUAUCUUCCCCAGUUAAUGGUCUAUGGCGUUUUCCCUAUCUGUUAUUUCAUCCAUAGUUUGGCAAGAUCUGACUUUGUAUGAAAUGGAAGGAAAAAGUUUUAUUGUCAAUGAGUCUGGGCUUUUCUGGAAUCACUCCGACGCAUGAGAGCGUAAUACCUCUCUGUUUGAUUUUGUUUUAAAAGACAAAUUCCAUGUAUGCUGGAUCUACGUGAGUCUAGGUGGAAAGAUUUCCUCAAGUGUUCUCAAAGGCUUUAUUUCUCUUUUUAACUAUUGUUUAUUUGAUUUUAUUUAUUUAUUAUUAUUAUUAUUAUUUUUUUUUUUUGGGUAAGAUCUUACGCGUUUUAAUUUAUUAUUGUUGUGCACCAGAUAAAAUGCAUAUACUCUCUGAUGUUUUCUAACUAUAGAAUGAUUUAUUACCAAAUCUAGAAUAUAUUUGCUUCUUUAUUUUUAUAGAUAUUCUCUGAUGCGAUAAAGAGGAAUAACUUUCGUCCUCUAUACACUUUAUUCUUCAAUUUUCAUGAAUAUUCCCUAACUAGUCCUGCCCAACUGCUUUAUGAUGAAAAUUUAUUUAUUUGUAAACAUAUCAGAUAAGUUUAUAAAUAUUCUUGGAGUGCACUUUUCUUCCAUCAGUUUGAUCAAUAAGUUUAUGGGUUUGAUUCACAUCAUUCUUUAUUUUCUUGUACUCUUAAAACUUAUGGCUGGUUAAUUUUAAUGAUAUUUAGUACUUAUAGAACUAUAGCAUUUAAGUGUGUUGAACUGGUCAAUAGUAGGUUUUAUUGGGUUAGCUCAAAAUUUUCUCCCUAAAAAUAACUGAAAGUCUGGAAUUUUUAAUUGUACCAAUUGAUAAUAUCAAUUGAACUUCUUAAACUAAGUUUUGAUAUGGCAAAUAUAAUUUAUUUUUAUUUUUUCAGAUAGUCUUCUCACUGUAAAUUUGAUUGAUAUAUAUUUGGAAGUUCUUAAAUAUUGGAGUAAGUGCUCAUUCGCGAUUAUAAAUCUCUAUAUUUUUAAAGUAUAAAAACAUUAUAUAUAAAUGUGUAAUUUAAAAA
rnacentral:lncRNA from 1 species